GGACAAUGUCUCCACUCACAGACCCUAUGUUCUCCUGGGAGAGACAGAAAGCAAACAAGGAAGGAAAUGCGUGAUUGUGACUGAAGGAAUUAGGGAACCGAAGCUGAGUACCAGGAGCCACACUCUGCCAUGUUGGCUGUCAAACCUGGUAGCUUAACAUGGAGGGCAAGGACCCAGGACACCAGGAGACCUCCUCUGCCCUGCCAGCUUUCCCUGGCACACCCAAGCAUAAGAGCUUCACAGGGAGGGCAGAGAGCCAAUGUGCUUGGUAGCAUCCCACCUCUCCACAACCCAUCCCCAGCGCCAUCUUGGUCUGAUUGGAUGUGCUUGUCUUGGGGAUCUGCUACCCCAACCUACGUCAAGAGCAGCAACCCUGGAGGCCAGGGAGCCUCUUGCUCCUGCAUCAGCCCAUGCAACUCCAGCAAGGUCUCUUGUCCACUUGGCUCAGUGACACGCUCCCUGCUUUAG
rnacentral:lncRNA from 1 species